AUCUACGGCCACAACACCCUGCACGCGUCUGAUCUCAGAAGCUAAGCAGGGUCAACCCUCUCCGCACCUCCACGGGAGAAAGUGAAAUGCUUAGGUA
rnacentral:rRNA from 1 species